rnacentral:ncRNA from 1 species
UGUCAUAAGAUUUCCCAAAAAUCAAUCUCAAUGAAGAGGGUGUUGAAAUCAAGGAAACAUUUGAGGGCAUUCCAUAACCUUUUCCCCUUAAAGAAAUAUCACAGACAACCUUCCAUCCAAAUUCAACAAAAUUGAAACCCAUUUUUGAGAGUUGUUGGUGCCUCAUCCUAUAACUGACGGCAACGUUAGGAAAUAUGGAGACAUCGUCCAGGGCCCCAGGAAGACUUAUCUUUUCUUUUUAAAAUCUUUCCCACCCUAAAAUUGGCUCAACUGGAGAUAGGGUCCAACAGCUGGAAGAGAAUCGCACAUCUUGCAUCAUCUGGUGCACCCUCAGUGGCCCUUGAAAAUCUAGAGGACCGAGUACCAUCCAUGCCCGGUCAUACUCAUAACCACAUCAGGUCUCCAAGGUGAACAACCUCU